rnacentral:tRNA from 1 species
GCUCUCGUGGCCCAGUUAGUUAGUGCGUCGUACUUAUAAUGCGAAGGUCAAGGGUUCAAUCCCCUCCGGGAGCA